GCUGCCUACAGGACAGAGCAUGAACUGAAGAAAAGAAAAGAAUCAUGCUGACUUUACUCUUUGAGCUCCAGCUCCCCUGGCUGAGAGGAGGCAGCCUGCUCCCAGGAGAUAGGGCAGGGAAUAGGAGUCACUAGUGCUGACUGGGGUUCAAAUCCUGACCCUGGGAUGUACCAGGUAUGUGACCUUGAAGCAACUGUCUAUACCAGGGGUUGGCAAAUAAUUUCUUUUUUCCUUUUUUUUUUUUUUUUUUUGAGCCAGGUCUCGCUCUGUCACCUAGGCUGUGGUGCAGUGGCGUGAUCAUGGCUCACUGCAGCCUCAGCCUCAGCCUCCUGGGCUCAAAUGAUCCUCUUUCCUCAGCCUCCUAAGUAGCUGGGACUAUAGGUGCAUGCCACCAUCCACCAUGCCUGACCUUUUUUUGGGCAGUUUUGUAGAAGUGGGGUUUUGCCAUGUUACCCAGGCUGAUCUCAAACUCCUGGGCUCCAAUGAUCCACCAGCCUUGACCUCCAGAGUCCUGGGAUUACAGGAAAGACAACGUCUGAAAAUUCUGCCCGAUGGAUGGAGAGAAGCAUCCUGGCAAGAGACACGGCGCUGCCGGACGAAGAGAUGUACUCCUGACAGAACUGGGACUGUUCACCCAAAGUGAGACAAAGCGAACUGCAAAGCUUUUGUCUUUGCAGAAUUGAAAGUCUCUUCCUUCUUACUGUCAAUGGAUUCGCCUAAUCAAAGCACCUUCUACUCACUGCAUCCAGGUUUCAUGCUCAUCCAACACACGGUGGGGUCUUUUCGUUUCUUCUGAGUUGUCGCACACAAAAUCCAAGAGUCCCACUUUUGGUGAGAACAUAUUGCUGUCAGGUUGCAUUUUUUACGGCACAUUGGUUCCCCGUGUCCCAGGAAUGACCCGCUGUAAAGGCCACUGGGCCAGAGAAUUGCAAGACCGAGCAGGGUGAUGGGAAUUACAGGAGAGGAUUAGCGACAGAACAGCCUGUUGCCACAGUGAAAGACAGCCUGAGGACGGAGCGUGCUUCCACCUGACUGAUGAAGUGUGCUGGGGUCUAUGGAUUAUGUCACAGUCAGAAAGCUUUUUUUUUUUUUUUGCUGUACCCUCUGACCUUCUCUAGAAGGUGAGCCCCAAGAUGCCUAUGAUACACCCCAGACUUUUGCAGGCUUUUUUGCAGACUUUUCCCUGACUCAAGGGGGAAGAGCAGAUGCUGAAGAAUGCAGGGUCCUGUAGAGUUUGGGAAUCCAUCAUUCACAAUAGGAUAGAAGACCUUUCAUGGGUGUUGCCAUGUACGGGGCAUGUGUGUUGGUGGCGAGGAGUCAUGUACUAAGCAGAUGCAGCCUUUCUAUUCCUCCUUCCUUAAACUCCAAUUUUAAAAUUAGCUAGUCCAGGCACAGUGGCUCAUGCCUGUAAUCCUAGCACUUUGGGAGGCUGAGGUGGGAGGAUGUCCUGAGCUCAGGAAUUUGAGACCAGCCUAGGCAACAUAAUGAAACCCUGUCGCUACAAAAAAUACAAGAAUUAGUUGGGCGUGGUUGUGAGCAUCUGUAGUCCCAGCUACUUGGGGGGACUUGGGCGGGAGGAUCACUUGAGCCGAAGAGGUUGAGGCUGCAGUGAGCUGUGACUGAGCCAAUGUUCUCCAGCCUGGGCAAUGCAGUGAGACCCUGUCUCAAAAAAAAAAAAAAAAAAAAGGCUAAUGGUCAAGUAGGCUUUAGAAUCCUAAAAAGCUGGCAACGAAAGGAAACAUGGUGCCAUCAGCAGAGAUCGGAGGUAGCAGUGUUCUCCCACACAGGUGCUUUGAGGUACAGAGACCUAGAGGAGUCAUAGUGUAACCCCGGCUAGAGAGAUUAGGAAAAAUCCCAUGGAAGAGGGGCCGAGCAUCAUUCAAUUUGUUGAGUAAACCCAAAAAGCAGUGCACUGAGAUCAGGCCAAGUUAGAGACGUCUCUAUGGCAAACGCUAAACACUUUCAUCACCCCCUUACAUUUGGUAGAAGAUUGCUGGAAUCACCACUCUCCACAAACAGUCAGAAAAACUGGAACCAGAUGGUAUCUCUAAAAAAACGUGGCCCACAGCCAUGAAUGUGUGACUUGCAUUCUCUUUCCGAAUAAGAAUAGAUGAUGUAGACACUGCUGGUUUGGACUGGCUCAGGGAGAAAAGAAACAAACAGAUGGAAGUACGUGCCAAGAGUCACUGAUGCUUCCAGAGGGCAGUGGCCUCGGCUGUCUUACUCAGGGCUGAAUUCUUAGCCCCUACGAGACUCAUGCCUGGCAUGUAACAAGUACACAGCCAGUUUUCCUCCCAUAAAUGAGAGGCCUUCUCAGAAUAAAGUUUUUGUCAUCAGGGAGCA
rnacentral:lncRNA from 13 species